UACGGAGGGAGCUAGCGUUGUUCGGAAUUACUGGGCGUAAAGCGCGCGUAGGCGGCUUUGUAAGUUAGAGGUGAAAGCCCGGGGCUCAACCCCGGAACUGCCUUUAAGACUGCAUCGCUUGAAUCCGGGAGAGGUGAGUGGAAUUCCGAGUGUAGAGGUGAAAUUCGUAGAUAUUCGGAAGAACACCAGUGGCGAAGGCAGCUCGCUGGGACGGUACUGACGCUGAGGCGCGAAAGCGUGGGGAGCAAACAGG
rnacentral:rRNA from 1 species